rnacentral:rRNA from 1 species
UACAGAGGUCUCAAGCGUUGUUCGGAUUCAGUUGGGCGUAAAGGGUGCGUAGGCGGCGCGGUAAAGUCGGGGUGUGAAAUCUUGGAGCUUAACUCCGAAACUGCAUUCGAUACUGCCGUGCUUGAGGACUGGAGAGGAGACUGGAAUUUGACGGUGUAGCGGUGAAAUGCGUAGAUAUCCGUAAGGAAGACCAGUGGCGAAGGCGGGAUCU